rnacentral:rRNA from 1 species
GCAGUAGCCGCGGUAAUACGAGGGGUGCAAGCGUUAUUCGGAUUGAUUGGGUGUAAAGGGUGUGCAGACGGCUUAUUAAGUCACUUGUUAAAUUCUUCGGCCUAACUGAAGGUCUGCAAAUGAUACUGAUGAGCUAGAGGGUGGAAGAGAGAAGUGGGAUUCUCGGAGUAGCGGUAAAAUGCGUAGAUCUCGAGAGGAACACCAAUGGCGAAGGCAGCUUCUUGGUCCAUUCCUGACGUUCAUACACGAAAGCGUGGGGAGCAAACAGGAUUAGAUACCCCUGUAGUCCCUGUCUCUUAUAC